CACCCCUUCGCCUUCUUUCCCAGUCCUCCCCACCCCUCAGCAUCCCUACCGUGUUACCCACCCCUCAGUCUCCGAUGCUGCAUGAAGGAUUUCCCCCACUUCCCGCGGGAUACGCACUAAAAUCGCCCUCAUAAUAAUGGACUCGCUGUAAAUUGAUGCGCUAAUGACAUUUUAUUUAGUCUUCAAAUAUGAAUCAUGCGUCUGAUAUUCCAUCUGUGUCUGCUCGCUAGCAUAUUUCUUUCCGUGCCAUCUUCUAUCGCCUCAAUCUCAACGGUUUCCAGCGCCGUGCAGAAUGAGGAUCUCAGGGAUCAGCUCGUGUCUGAGACCCCGCGAGAAGCGACAGCAGCGGCACAGGGCAAUUCCACGGGAAGAAAAUCGGAAGAGCAUGAGGUCACCGUCACAUAUCCCUCCCGGCUCAUUUACUACUUGAAUGAGGAUUCGGAGAGCACGUAUCAUGAUCUGGACACUCGGGCGAGGAACCAGGCCGGGGAUGGACAGGACGUCCACCUGGCCCAAGCAAGUUUCCAGCUGGACGCCUUUGGCACCACAUUCACUCUGGACCUCACUUUGAACAAUGAUCUGCUCUCUUCAGAUUAUAUGGAGAUCCACUAUGAGAACGAUAAGCCAGUUCUCUCCAGGGGCGGUGAACACUGCUACUACCACGGCCACGUGAGAGGAAAAGAAGACUCCCGUGUAGCUUUAUCCACCUGCAAUGGACUUCAUGGGAUGUUUGAUGAUGGUAAUUUUGUCUAUCUCAUCGAGCCUCUGAAACUGACUCACACCGUGGAAACAGAGGCACGACCCCACACUUUGCGACGAACAUCAUCGCUCCAUGUGACCUCUGUCCCAGGUGACUGGGCUGCUGAUGACCCAGUUGAGGAAAAAGAAGAGGAAAAACAUAUUUUCGCUCGCAUGCCUUGGUUAAAGAGAAGGAAGAAAAGAGCUAUGCCACGUAACGUUUUUGAGGAAAUGAAGUAUCUGGAAAUAAUGAUUGUCGCCGACCACAACACGUUUAAAAGGCAUAAGAGUAAAAAGCACACCCGGAACUCUGCCAAAUCAGUGGUCAACUUUGUAGAUGCUAUUUUUAAGGAGCAGCUGAAUACACGUGUGGUAUUGGUUGCUGUGGAGAUUUGGACUGACAGGGACCGGAUUCCUCUGAGCGUGAAGCCAUUGGAAAUGUUAAGAGAUUUUUCAAAGUACCGACAACAGAACAUCAACAUUAACGCCGAUGCCGUGCACCUCUUCACGAAUGUGACAUUUCAUUAUGGCCGGAGCAGUGUUGCAUAUAUUAGCGGUGUCUGCUCCAAAGGAAGAGGAAUCGGUGUUAAUGAGUUUGGCAGCACAUGGACAAUGGCCAUGUCUCUCUCUCAGAGUUUAGCACAGAAUCUUGGUAUCCAGUGGGAUCCUGUGAUCAGGAGGAAGGAGUGCGGCUGCAUGGAUUCAUGGGUGGGAUGUAUAAUGGAAGACACUGGAGUGCAACACCCACGCAGGUUUUCCAAAUGCAGCAUCUCUGACUACAGGAACUUCCUUCUAAGAGGCGGUGCUUCAUGUCUGUUUAACAAACCCAACAAGCUCUUUGAGGCUACAGAAUGUGGGAAUGGUUACGUGGAAGUGGGAGAGGAGUGUGACUGUGGGGCCCGAAUGGAGUGCUAUAAAGACUGCUGUAAAAAAUGUUCUUUGUCUAAUGGAGCGCACUGCAGUGACGGCCCCUGCUGCAACGGCACAUGCCUAUUCUACCCGCGGGGAUACAGCUGUCGAUAUGCUGUAAAUGAUUGUGACAUAUCAGAGACUUGUUCAGGAGACUCGGGACAGUGCCCCCCUAAUCUUCAUAAGCAAGAUGGCUACUCGUGUCAGCUCAAUCAGGGCCGCUGUUACAGUGGUGAAUGUAAGACCCGGGACAGUCAGUGUAAAUACAUCUGGGGUUCAAAGACUGGAGGGUCAGAGAAGCACUGCUAUGAGAAGUUAAAUACAGAGGGGACAGAAAAAGGGAAUUGUGGGAGAGAUGGAGACAAAUGGGUGCCCUGCAGCAAACACGAUGUGUUCUGUGGGUACCUGCUGUGCUCUAAUAUUGGGAGAAUCCCAAGGAUCGGGACACUGAAAGGUGACGUUACUCCCACCACCUUUAACCAUCAGGGGCGACUGGUGGACUGUAGCGGGGGACAUGUGCUGUUGGAUGAUGACACUGAUCUAGGGUAUGUGGAAGACGGUAUGCCGUGCGGCCCCUCUAUGAUGUGCCUUGAGCGGAAAUGUCUUCCCAUCUCCUCCCUGAAUCUCACAGCCUGUCCGUCUGGCCCCGGUGGCCGAGUCUGCUCUUCUCACGGCGUGUGCAAUAAUGAAGCAACCUGCACUUGUGAUUCUACCUGGGCAGGGACAGACUGCAGCAUGCACGACCCCCCGAAAGAGCCGCCUGUCAUCGAGGACCCGGGUCCCAAGGGUCCUAGCGCCACCAACCUUAUCAUAGGCUCCAUCGCAGGGGCCAUCCUGAUGGCAGCCAUAGUGCUGGGGGGGACGGGAUGGGGAUUUAAGGUGAGAGUUUGAGCGGAGAGGGGUGGAGGUUGUGUCGUAGGCAGCCUUUGUGCCAUGGCUGGCUGCCACACCCUCUUAUCUCCCGGAAGGCCCUGGGCCCCCUGAAAACCUAGAACAGAGCAAGAGCCCUCACCCCCCACCCGGACUCGCCCGGCACCGCUGCCUUUACUGCCUGCUUCACAGAGACCUGAAAUGUCAAGAAAAGACGAUAUGACCCUAACGCCAGUGCCAUCUAAAGGCUAAGAGAACUGCAUCCUUGCCUAGUGUGCCCCUGGGUUCUGUCAGAACCCGCUGGACUGUACCUUCUCCUGCUGCUGACGCCGUUGCCGACAGCAAUGGCGUUACUUGAAUAAAAAAGGACAGAAAGCGAGAGAAGAAAGAGACUUAAUGAUCAAACAUUUUUAAUCCAAAGUCACGUAGAACUGCUUCUCCAGCGCUGCCCCCGUUCCUUUGCCCUCUGGUCUCGAGCCUUUUAGCAACCCUGAUAACUGUUGGUGGAUGGUACCACUCAUUGGGGCAUGACUUCCGAUUUACAUGCCCCAAUCUCCGGUUCCGACCCAGGCAUGACCAGCUUCAGCUGUGGACCUCGCAUGGCAGAGGAGGGUCACCAGUGUAAGACGAACAUAUUUGUUAAUUUAAAAAAAGAACAAUGAUUUGAAGUUCCAGUUGGUGGGGAACACAUCCAUGUGUGUUUCGAGGGGCUAAAUGACUACGUCCUAUCAGAGGGACCCAUAUCUUCUUCGGACAAACAUUUCAAGGCAUAACUUUACAGUUUUUCUUUUUGUUAUUUCAGCAUGUUAUAUUGCAGGCACUUUCUGUAGUAUUAAUGAAACAAAGAAACCCAAAUGAAAAAGUAAAAAAAUCAAUCCAUUAGACUCGCAGCGUAUACAGCUGCAUGAUGAAAUCACCACUGUCAUAUAUGCAUAAUUCCCCUUAAAAAAUGUAAACUGGCUGGGCACUGCAGGGUCUGCCCUGACCUGAAUGCCAUCACUGGCCAAACAGAGAGCUGCAUGAUGUAAUUGCACUGGGGGCGGAGCCCACACAGCCUGCUGCGCUUUUCAAGGUAUCUGCAUGUCAAAGGAAAAACAGUUAACAUUUACUUACUAUGCAAAGGGGAAACAUUGCACAAACCCUAUGGUUUGGUAAAGAAUUCUCAACUGAGACAAACAAUGAAAUUUAUCUCAAGCUAGCGGAUUAUUAAUAAGGCAGUCUUUUAUAUGCUCGGCCAUCUAUGUUUGACAUUAUAAUAAGCUUCUGAUUACUUAAAAUGAAUGUUUCUAUGAAAAUCUCAGCUUCUGAAAAUUAAAAUGUCAUUGUCAUCUGUGUGGGACAGCAUAAUUGAGGCACUUGUGAUAUGAAUUAUUAUGAUUAAUAGAAUGGGGCUAUUACAGUAGAGGGAGCUCUAAUUUUGGUAAAUGUCACUGAAAUAAGAGCAGAGUGUUUUUCUAUACCAUCAUUGAUCUGCACCAUCAGGUUUUUGAACUCAUCAUCUAAACCCUGAGCUAUUUUACAGCCAUCUCAUGUUCCCAUGGAAAAAUUGCCAAAACAACAAAUAACACCAAUAAAAAACUUGACAAAAACUUU